UCUGACACUGAGAACCUUUUCCUCUCUAUUUCAUACCAUUCUUUUGUUGUUGGUGAAGGAUAUUCUAACAUGAGACUACAUCCGGACUCUCUGACAGAACCCUCAUGGCCUUCUCAUACUAUAUCCUGGUGGUAAGUUUUUCUGACCGAGGUCCCCCAGUCUUCUGUUCUCUGUACAUGUGAACUAGCCUGUAACUUUUCCAUAGCCUGUGUUUAUUUUUUAGUGGCUCCACUUAGUAGAAAUCAUCUUGUGCCAUUCACCAUCUGGAGUACAGUAGUGAGCACAUUUGGAAUCCAGCAAAACUAUGAUUUAUCCCAUCCAGGAUUCUGAUCAGACAGACCUUAUCUUAGAACUGUUUAUCUUUUUAUUAUUGAGCCUUUGAUAUUGAUUUAUUUUUUAUUUUUGAAAGCAUGCAUCAUUAAGCCUUGUGGAUUUUGUUUUAAAAAAACUCAAUAAUUGAUUUUGCAAGAGUAGGUUGAACUUGUUUACUUGUUUAUUUAUUUACUUUUAAGGCCCUGCUUGGCAAAGCUUUUGGGGAGCUAGAAAGCAUUUUUUAGCUCUUCAAAAGCACUAUGGAUGAUUAUAGUGGUGUUUGGUAAAAAGUGUGAAAGCUGUUUUUUAACUUUGUCGGAAAGUACUUUCUAGCAAACAUUGGGAAGCUGUUUUUGCUUUAUGACAUCUGACUUUUUGACCAAAAUACCCAUGAAAAAAUACAUAAUUAUGGUUGUGUCCCUUUAAAACAUAGCGAAUGAAAAGAUCUUAUCGUGCGAACGGAGGAGGAGAUGGGGAAUAGUCUAAACAAUAUUAUAUAGGAUAUCCAAAAUUAUUUGAAAUAUAUGUAUUCGAUGAUCUUAGUGUUAUCUCAGUGGUCAUAUUGCUCUGUUUAUAAAUUGUGGGUCCAGGAUGCGUCGUGCCAUUGAUAUCCACUAGAUUUCACUCCAAGUGACAUAUCAGAGGGGGAACUGCCCCGUAGUUAUACACGGGUGCGACUCUUGGAUCAAACUCUUUUCUAUUUUGUUUUUUUUUUUGAAAGGAAAGAAUAUAUAUCGAGCAUUCAGAAAGUAUUUAUCAGGCUUAUUAAACUUGUGUAUCGCUCAUAUUAUGUUUAGAACCAAGGGCAAAAUCAUCCGAACCGUAAAAUAUGUAUAUAUUUGUAGAAAAAAUAAAAUAAAUAUAAUCCUUUUUGUAAAAUCAAUAAAUAAUUGGAUUUUAUGCAAAAUCUACUGGAAUUUCUGGGUUCAAUUAUGUUUUUCGGAGAAGAGGGGGUGGGUAUGAGGUUUAGGUAUGGCAAUUUAUGACUUGAUCUGCAACCGACCUCCUUUAAGUAGGUUCGAGUUUGGUAUAAAUGGGUUUGUGUCAUACUUGGGUCAAUGCGGGGCUUCUCACUCCAAUUCUAUGGUGGGAUUAUUGAAUGUACUGGAGGACCCAAGGUUGACUUUAUCAAAAGAAAAUAUCUAUCUGUUAGCUAGUGAGAAGGAAAGCGACUUUUCUAUCCUAUGAGUACUGCAGAGCAGUGUGUACCAAGUGUCGAUCUUCAACAUUGGUACACUAGGGCGCCAAGGCUCUUCUUUUUGAAGGGAGGGGAGAUACCUCUGUGCUAGGUUCGUGCGAUGUAAUAAUUCAAGACCUUACCUAAAAGAGCUACAUAGAAAUAUUUAAUUGAUUACCUAGAAAUAUUUAAUUGGAGUCCUUGAUCCAGCUUAAAUAAUUUUGAUGAUACAUAUCCAAUACGGAAAUAAACACAUGCUCGCAUAGAUUCUCAUAUGCUCUAUAAUGAUUGAGGGCAUGAUCUUCUUGCUGAAAGAAGGUGACUUGCUCUGGUUCCACCCAUGGAAUUGGCUGUGGCGCAGAAAGGUUGUCUAAAGGGCAGCUGGCAGCUUCUUCAGGCCACGGUGAUUGCUUGGAUUUAAUGCAAGCACUUUCCUUCUGCCAGUUCUGUUGCCUGGCAACAUCACCUUAUCCUUUUCCAACAUUUAGGCUUUGUCGGAUGUCACUAGAUUCUUUUCAUUGCCUCGGUACUCUUUUGGGGAAUCAGGUAGCCGUCUGGCUGAUAGGAUAAGCUACUGAAAAUAGAAUUGAUGCUGUCUCUUUGUUCUCGCAGGUGUGUCUUUCAUGAGAUGUAUUUAACUGGAUCUGACCUCCUUCACCAUUGAAAAAAAAAAAGAGAAAGAAAAAGAAAGAAAAAAAAGUAGAAAACAAGCAUCCAUGUAAUUAGGAAAAAGAGCUAGUUGAGAAGAAAUGCCCUGCAGAGAAUUACCAGGUACAGGACAAAUUCUCUUCGGCAACAGCACUGAUCAUCAAAAUUGAACAGCUUGUGCUGGCUUAAGAAGAUUUUCUUUUCUUUUUUUUUGGUAAACUUGCUCAAGUUUAGAUAGAUGUACAAGCGGGCCGUGUUGAUAUUUGAUCAACUUGUGAUGGCUUGAGAAGUUUUUUUUUUGGUAAACUUGCUCGAGUUUAGAUGGAUGUACAAGCAGGCUAUGUUGAUAUUUAAUCAGCUGCUCAGAAGGAUAUACAUGUUAAGCUUGUCUAGAACCCGAGACCAACUCAAGCAGUUCCUUUAUAUAUCGAGCCAAGUUUGAGCAGCAUGAUACUCAACUAUGCUCAUUUGCACCCCUAAUUUUUAUAUACUGGAUACAAUGUUUACCUGCUAAUGGACAUUCUACCACUGAAAUGAGAUCUGACAGGAAAUAUGAACCCCAUGCGUAUGUGAGAAAGCCUUACAGGACUUCAGACCCUGGCCUACCCCUCAAGGAGCUCUUCUUGAGCAGCCAAGCAUGGCCUAGCCUGCCCACGCCCUGAAGCACAAGCCAUGGAACAGGAUGGCCAAGGGAAUAUGUAUAACUGGUAUAGGGAAAAUGGUCCUCAGAUACGGCGGCUUUAUGAAUCUUAUGUAAUCAAUGUAUAUGGAACUAUCUGAUGGUCUUGAUUCCAAUAAAACAAAAGUAUGAAUGAAUAUUCUAAGACAUAACCU